rnacentral:lncRNA from 10 species
GUUUAUCUAGUUUUGGCAACAUUAUUUUCUUUGAGCUAUUUUAUAACUGAGUUGUGAAUGACUGAUAGGAAAGGAGAGCAUUCUUGACUACAGACAUGAAAAUAAUUCUGUCCAGUGGAGGGCAAUUAAUCUUCCUUCAUAUCCAAUGGGGGAAAAAAGCCAGUUUUGCAUCUUCUUGGGUUCAGAAAAUGCUACCCCAAAGUACUUUGAACUGAAGGUGAUUGGGAGGGCCUAAGAAGCAAGAAGGUCACUCUGAGUUCCUCCUGCCUUUCAAUGUGAGACCUGGCCAAAAGGGAAUUCUCUGUCCUACCUCAACUGAAAGUAGCUUGUAAGAACUUCAUCUCAAAGGGGUACUGCAUUAUACUCUGAGGCCAAGAAAAGUCAACGCAGAGGCCUUCCUGGGUCCCUCUCCCCCAAUUUGUUACCAUACCCUUUUGUCCCAUCAUACUUCUACAUGAUUUUACUGAAUCUAAGCACAAAAAUACUCAGUUGUCCCCUGGGUGUUUGGUCCUCAUUUCUAAUGGUUUUCGUUCCCCAUAAAACUUUGGUUAAUGCAUUUGUUACACUUUUUUCUUGUUACUCUGUCUUUUGUUAUAUGGGUUCCAGCCACAGACCUUGGGAUGCGUAAGGAAAAAAACAUUAUUUUUUCUCUCAUAUGUAAUUCCAAUGGCUAGCCAAAUACCUGAGAUUUCUUUUGUGGCCCA